UACGAAGGGGGGCAAGCGUUGUUCGGAAUUACUGGGCGUAAAGGGCGCGUAGGCGGCUUAUCAAGUCAGGCGUGAAAUUCCCGGGCUCAACCUGGGGGGCUGCGCUUGAUACUGAUGAGCUUGAAUGCGGGAGAGGAUAGUGGAAUUCCCAGUGUAGAGGUGAAAUUCGUAGAUAUUGGGAAGAACACCGGUGGCGAAGGCGGCUAUCUGGCCCGUAAUUGACGCUGAGGCGCGAAAGCCAGGGGGAGCGAACGGG
rnacentral:rRNA from 1 species